rnacentral:lncRNA from 1 species
CUUUGCCUGCUGCCAUCCAUGUUAAGAUAUGACUUGCUCCUCGUCUUCCGCCAUUAUUGUGAGGCCUCCCCAGCCAUGUGAAACUGAGGAAGAGGCAGAGCAAGACGGCUCAAUAGAAGCCUCCACUAAUUGUCCUCCCCACUGGAACACCAAAUUGAACAACUAUCCACACAAAGAAGCACCUUCGUAAGAACCAAAAAUCAGGUGCCAGACAGAAAGUCAUCUCUCUGCUCAACUGAGACAAAUGCAGAUUCAUUGAGCCAGACUAAGGCAUAAGUGACUAUUCCUCUAUGUUCCCCAACAUGUAAAUUGUGGAUUCAGUGAAAGGCUGAUUGAAGAGUCAGAAGAAUGUAACUUUUUGUCUCUUAUCUACCUGGAACCACACCUUAUCUACCUGGAACUGUCCCCUCCCCGCCCCCCCAAUCCCGCCCUGUUUUGAGUUGUCCUGCCUUUCUGGACCAAAUCAAUGCACAUCUUACACAUAUUGAUUGAUGUCUCAUAUCUCCCUAAAAUGUGUAAAAGUGAGCUGUACCCUGACCACCUUGAGCACAUGUUGCCAGGACACAGCCUCCUGAGGGUACAUCUUUAACCUUGGCAAAAUAAACUUUCUAAAUUGAUUAAGGCCUGUCUCAGACACUUUGAGUUGACAAUACACAAAAACUAAAAAGGAAGAAAUUAAAAGAUACCACCAGAGAAAAUCGCAUUCACUAAAAGGAAGACCACAAAACAACCAGAAAACAAAUAACAAAAUGGCAGGCAUAAGUCCUUACUUAUCAAAAAUAGCAUUGAAUGUAAAUGAAAUAAACUCUCCAAUCAAAAGACAUACCAUGGCUGAAUGGAUUUAAAAACAAGACCCAAUGAUCUUUUGCCUACAAGAAACACAUUUCACCUAUAAAUAUAUGUAUAGACUAAAAAUAAAGGGAUGGAAAAAUAUAUUCCCUGCAAGUGGAAACCAAAAAUGAGUAGGAAUAGCUAUACUUACAUCAGAUAAAAUAGAUUUCAAGACAAAUGCUACCAUGCCCAGUUAAAUGUUUUUUUUUUUUAAAGUGUUUGUAGAGACAGGGGUCUUGCUAAGUUGCCCAGGCUGGUCUUGAACUCCCGGUCUCAAGCCAUCUUCCUGCAUCAGCCUCCCAAAGUGCUAUAGGCAUGAGCUACUGGGCCUGCACUGUUUUUCUUUUAAUAUUUUAGAGACAUUGUUCUACUAUCUGCUGGCUUGCAUUGUUUACACUGAGAAUCUUCUGUAAUUCUUAUGUUUGUCCCUCUGUAUGUAAUAUGCCUUUUUUCUCCUGCAUUUUUAACAUUUUCUCUUUGCCACUAA